GUCGACCAAUUGGUUUCAAGCCUUUAGGGAAUAUACAUAGGAAUUUUAUCGUCUCAACAUUUCCAGUAUCGAGUUAACCUCCGAUUCGAUUUGUACUCGUUUCUACUCGUCGUUUAGCUUUUGUUCCAUCUUCGCAAGAAACAUUUUUCUUCUUUUUUCCUUUUUCUAUCGAAUCGUUCGUUGAAACAAUUUCGAUUACUCCAUUUACUAAAUUCUACGCUUAUUUUCCUUUAUAACAUGCUUCUUAUACAUAUAUUCGAUCGAUCUUGAAAACGUUAAACUAUCCAUUCGUUAGGAUACAGAUCAAAAUAUGGCUGACGGAUGAAAGAGUAGACAGAAUCGAUCCCAAUAAGUGUUCCAAUGAGGAACAAGUCUUCCAAGUAGAUGCUACUCGUCAUCAGAUUCGUUAACAUUUUAUCGUUCAAUUCGUCAUAAUUACGUCGAUAUGCCAAAUAAAUACGAGCUAUAUGGAAAUGUAAAGAGGAUAAGCGUUCAAUAAAGAGGAUUCCACCGUUGCAAGUUGUCUUCAUUUUAUAUAGAGAUCGUUCAAAGCUUUUAUUCCUUUCUGCCGUAUGCAUGUUGUGGAUGGUAAACGACUAUAAGAAUAUGAGAGAUAUAAAUAACGACGUAAUAAGAGGAAAAAAGGUAUAAAGAGGAAGCAAAAAAAAAGCAUUCAGGCUGAGCACCCUUUGGAUAUGGUACAUUUUACACAAAUGAGGAACGAGAAAACUGUGCGAACGGACAACAGGAGAGAAAUUUCAAAUAAAGUUCGUUGUCUGUGUGUGUGCAUAUAUAUACAUAUGUCUAAUAUAUUCGUGCCGCAAUUCUUAUAGUCUCUCUCUCUCUCUCUCUCUCUCUAUCCGUCUAUAUAAGUACGAGUACACGAAUACAUAUAUCCAUAUAUCUAUAUAUACACAUACAUUGACAUGCAUAUAUGUAUAUAUACACACACGAUGUAAACGUACGUACUUAUCGCUUAUACGCUUCUUUUUGAUAUUAUUUUUCUUAUUCGCGAAAGCGCGUUUAUUAUUUUCUUUGUUAUUACAGAAAUUCGCAUCGGGCAGGGUAAAUGUAGGUGUAUGCCGUUACGAGAAAGCCGUUUCUCGCGAUCGAGCUAAUAGAACGAAAGAAUAUAAUCGAGGGAGGUACGUAUGUACGAAGAAACUACAGAUUUUCUCAUCUCCUUUGAGAUUCCACUGUCGUAAUUAUCCUCGCGGAUCGUCGUCGUUGUUGCCGUCGUCGACGACAUACACCUUCUUCUACCAUGCUCUCGCGAGGAUCGAUGGCACCUCUGGUGGUAUAUCCUUAAAAAAGUCUCUAAUAGAAGCACAACGAACAUUCGUCCUGUGUAGUUUCUUUUUCUCUUUCCCUCCCGAUGAAAGGACGUUCUAAGGACGACGAAGGGGGGAGCUCGCGGCGACUCGGCUAAUGGAACGCGUGCGAGACAUCUCGAUAUUUUCUCUUCUUCGUUUCGUUUCGUUUCGUUUCGUUUCGUUUCGUUUCGUUUCGUUUCGUUUCGUUUUUCCUUCUUUUAAGCUUACAAAGAUAAUAGCUCUGUUUUCUUUUUGUUCUUUUUUUGCAUCUUUUUCUUUUUUUUUCUUCUCAAUAUCACUAAGUAAAUAGAAGUGGAAACGAUAACGACGGAGGAUACGGUUGGAAAAAGAGAGAACACGCAGCGUGGCGCACAAGUAACGACGAUACACCGCCGAUAUACCUUUCAUUUUACGAUCGAGGAGGAAUUUAAAUACGAACAAUCACGGCGCUUCGAGCGGAACUCUAAACGGAAAGUGGAAAUGAAAGAAAAGAACGAGUUGGUCCUACCAAAAAAAUAUAUAUAGAGCUUCGAGGAGAAAGCUACGAGAAAAUCGUCAUACCGUUAUAAAUCUUUCGACGAGAUAUGAGAAGAAGAAGAAUGUGCUUACGUGCCACUUUUCGCUGAAGGUUAAAUCGACGGUGAAUUCUAGAGAGAAAGAGAGAGAGAGAGAGAGAGAAAGAGAAUCGACCUUUCGCAAGCCGAGAAGCAUCCGACGAAUCAUUUAUGAAUCACGUACUUACAAGACUCGAUAGGAGGCUUCGUACGAUUCGAACAACUCUAUCUUUCUCUCCAACUUUCUUACACUUUUUCUUUUACAACACACGCGAACGAUAUACUCGAUCACUUUUCAUCUUCCAAAGAAGAAGAAGAAGAAAAAGAAGAAGAAGAAGAAGAAGAAGAAGAAGAAGAAGGAACCACUUCGAGAGAUACGUUCGAAAAUCUUUCAGGAAUCAAAAAAUAUCAAGAGUGGGCAAAAUAAAAAAGUUUAACUUUACUUUGUUUCCUUUUUCCAACUUUCAGCAACAUACAUACAUACGUAGAGAGGAGCGCGAUAAGCUCGUUCGAAUUUCUCGUAUGGACAAAGUUAGCAUUUUCUCCGUAAAAAGCUUCCUCCUAAGGAAAGCAUUCGAGAGAGCUUCCAAGGAACAUUGUUUCGGAAAACGGAGUUAUAAGAGAGACAACGAUAAUACCGUUGAAAGACAAUGGAAGACGUUGAUGGACUAGGACACUGCUAACCUCUUAUACGAUAGUCAGCAAGCUAGCUGAAUGUACCAUGAAUAUUUCAAGUUCGCUGCAGUAACGCAGAAGGAAGAAAGCCAUUGUGGAACGAUUUAACGGACAAAUUGGACUAAAGACCAUCAUUCGACGUUGCUUCUUGAUGAGCCUGCUAAGCCGUUGAGUCCUUUGGGCGCAUGUAAGCGUUUUUCCGUUCAAUUGAAAAUCGUCUACAAGUUCAUCCUCGAGGUCGUUUGCAUCCUUCUCGAUCCGAGGACUAUGCCUGAGCGUAACCGUGCUAAGCGGUACCGCUUUGGCGACGAGACUCUCGCUUCUAACGCUCCAAUUGGAACCACCGUACUUCUUCAGAUUCAUCAGAUCACCUAUGCUACCUCUGACCUGACUGGUACACAGCUGAAGAUUCGUUCUCGAGAGAGCCGGGGAGUGAGGAAGAGACUCGGAACACUUUUCGAUCGAUCUAACGACGUCCGGUAAGAUCGACUUGUUCUGAAGUUUGUCCAAAUCUGAGAGGGACGAUCCACGACGAAUCCUGGCUCUGGGCAAAGUCGCUUUUUCUUUUGCAAUUUUUUCUUUCUCACGAUUCACGCUCUUGGAGGAUAAGGAAGACUUCAUGGCGAAUAGACCCGCCUUCAAUGGAAAGAGCAAUGCCCACUCGGUCGACUUUUCGCGAGUCUCCAUUUUCACCGACCUUUUUUACCUUUCUUCUUCUCAAUAAGAAGAGUUCCGUGUCUUCGUAUAACUUCGAGAAAUAUUAUAAUUCUGCUCGAGACUCGAAAACAGGAAAGAGAACUCUCGUUUAAGCGUUAAAUUGGAACGAUAACGCGCCAUCCGGUUUGCGGACCUUCCGCUCGGUCGUUAUCGUGCUCCCAAUGAAGAAACCGGAAGAACUUACUUCGGUUGUAUAAUAAAAAACAAACGACUAGAAAUUCAACCAAAGAGAUUCUUUUUGAUAACAGCAGCUCAAAGUCUUUGCCUCUUUCGAUUCGACGAAGCUCUCUUUUCAAGAAAACGUUCUCU